UUCACGCGCGAGAGAGGUAAACAAAACCGCUUUUUUGUGUGGUUGUUUACCUCCCGAUCACGCCACUCGAGCGCGCGAGCGGAAGAGAUAAGAAAUCAUGGUCAACGUGAACGUGCAAAACUGCAACUUGCUAGUUCAGUACGUGCGUGGUCAUUGUCGUGUGCGUGUUACCAGUGCGUGAAAAAUCCCAUUACUUUAAUAACGCGUUGCGGUUCGCGAAACAUGAAGUAAGCACCCAUCGAGGUUGGUGUCUCCGUAUAUGUGAUUAUCGUGUUGUGUAUCUCAUGUACUCGCAAUAAACACACCAUGGAAGACACGGAAAACACAGAGACAGAAAACCAACUCGCAACUCAACGGGUGCACAAGAAUUCUCCAUGCAAGAAACAACAAGUUCAAAGUUUCGCCGUGGCUUUCCUGGAGAUGUGACUGAAUUGGAAGUGAAUUGGAAAUGGUCCAAGUUCGGCGGUGAUCCUGCAAAACAAUAUUAAUGCCAACUGCGCACCACGAGCAGCACCAGCACCACGCUCGACAUGUUUUAUUACAUCGCGCGCCUGCCGCACAUUCCUAUUUAGUAAAUGGCGGAGUUUGGAGGUUAUCUGGAGCGUCGAAAACUUGCACUUGUCGCAAAUCUCCGAUGCAAGAUAGCCAGGUAAAGCAAUAACUAAAUUAUUAAAUUAUUAAUUGGACAUUAAUUGGCAAUUUGUUAUCAUCGAAUUAAUGUUAGUCAAAUAUCUGGUUGUUCUGUUCGCGAUCGCGUUGAUCCAGACAAGCAUCAGUAGUGACAAGUGACAAUACACGUGUUUUGGUCCGAUUAUUCAGUAAACGCGCAUUCCAUUUCUUUAUACUCUAGUCCACAUGGAUAAUAAAGAAUAAAUAAAUAAAGAUGCAGAAUUGAAAGAA